GCAGGUAUGGCGGAAUUGGCAGACGCGUAUGGUUCAGGUCCAUAUGAGGGCAACCUCUUGCAGGUUCAACUCCUGUUACCUGCACCA
rnacentral:tRNA from 1 species